AUGACCCCUGUCAUCUUCUGUAAACUCACAUGUAAAGCUCUCAUUUAUGCUUUCUCAUGUUUAUUUGGCUCUGAACGAUCCUCCAUUCAUGAUUCUAUUGUUCUCACGAAACGAUCCUUUCACACCUCCGCCAGGCAAUCAAGACUCGGACCUACCUACAUCACACUUGAGAGCAGAGAUGCACUUCUGGCUGCUGUAAGUUUGCCAAAGUUUAGCAUGGGCUGGACAGAAAAGGAGGCUAGGAGAGAGUGCACUAAAGAGCUGCUGAUCCCAGAGUGUUGUGCAUUGCUCUCUGAGUCCGACGCUACUGUGGAUACCAUACUGACCACUUCUGUAACGGUAUCCAUGGCCUCAAUCAAGUUUAGUGAAAAUUAUUAUUAUUAUUAUUAUUAUUUAUUUAUUUAUUUAUUUAUUUAUUUAUUUAUUUAUUUAUUUAUUGCAACAGGGUCAGAGUGUGUCUACUCUGCAGACAAAGAAGUGAUGGACUUUUUGAGGGCAGGACAUGAGAUUGAGACCCUCAAUCAAUACCCAAGAAUAAAAAACAUUCUUUUGAAAUACAACAACCCCAUUCCAUCCAGCACAUCUGUGGAAAGACUGUUCAGCUUAGGAAGAUUGGUUCUGACACCAAAAAAAAAAAAAAACAGUCUGUCCGAUAAAAGGUUUGAAAAGCUUCUCCCGAUGAGAUAUAAUCAGCACUUCAGUUGCAAGCAGUGAAAAAUUAGUGGUGAGCAAUAGGCUAAAAAAAAUAAAAUAAAAUAAAACUUAUGUAAAUUUAAUUUAACUUAAAUGCUGCUGUAUGCCUAAUGUUUUAUUUGUCCACUGUAAAAGUUUUUUAGGUCAUUACUUAAGUGAAACAUUCAAAGACCACAUUCAUGGCAAUUGUUUUUGCCAGAUACAUAGCAUACUACUGUAUAAACUUUUUUUAAUAAACAGAUUAAAUGUGCUAUACUGCCAUAAACCUACAUUUAAAAAAGAAAUCAGAGCCACAUCUAGAAUUUUACAGACUUAGUUGGGAUUUUAUGAUUUGGACCAGUACAAAACCACCUAGGAACCAACGUGAUCCCAUUCGCAACUGGGGAAGUCGUAAGAGAGUUUGACUCCUAAGGUUGUGGGUUCAAGUCUCGGGCUGUCAAUACCAAGACUGAGGUGCCUUUGAGCAAGGCACUGAACCCCCAACUGCUCCCCAGGCACUGCAGCAUAAAUGGCUGCCCACUGCUCCAGGUAUGUGUUCACAGUGUGUGUGUGUGUGUGCACUUUGGAUGUGUUAAAUGCAGAGCACGAAUUCUGAGUAUGGGUCACCAUACUUGGCUGUAUGUCACUUUCACUUUCUGUCACUUUCAUCUUCAACUGCAAAGCAACACCGUGACAUCUUG
ensembl:lncRNA